rnacentral:rRNA from 1 species
AUUGAACGCUGGCGGCAUGCUUUACACAUGCAAGUCGAACGGUAACAGGGUGCUUGCACCGCUGACGAGUGGCGAACGGGUGAGUAAUGCGUCGGAACGUGCCGAGUAGUGGGGGAUAACGCAGCGAAAGUUGUGCUAAUACCGCAUACGUACUGAGGUAGAAAGUGGGGGACCUUCGGGCCUCACGCUAUUCGAGCGGCCGACGUCUGAUUAGCUAGUAGGUGAGGUAAAGGCUCACCUAGGCGACGAUCAGUAGCGGGUCUGAGAGGAUGAUCCGCCACACUGGGACUGAGACACGGCCCAGACUCCUACGGGAGGCAGCAGUGGGGAAUUUUGGACAAUGGGCGAAAGCCUGAUCCAGCCAUUCCGCGUGCAGGAUGAAGGCCCUCGGGUUGUAAACUGCUUUUGUACAGAACGAAAAGGUUUCUACUAAUGCUAGGAGCUCAUGACGGUACUGUAAGAAUAAGCACCGGCUAACUACGUGCCAGCCGCCGCCGUAA